rnacentral:rRNA from 1 species
UGGGGAAUAUUGCACAAUGGGCGCAAGCCUGAUGCAGCCAUGCCGCGUGUAUGAAGAAGGCCUUCGGGUUGUAAAGUACUUUCAGCGAGGAGGAAGGCGUUGUGGUUAAUAACCGCAACGAUUGACGUUACUCGCAGAAGAAGCACCGGCUAACUCCGUGCCAGCAGCCGCGGUAAUACGGAGGGUGCAAGCAUUAAUCGGAAUUACUGGGCGUAAAGCGCACGCAGGCGGUCUGUCAAGUCGGAUGUGAAAUCCCCGGGCUCAACCUGGGAACUGCAUCCGAAACUGGCAGGCUAGAGUCUUGUAGAGGGGGGUAGAAUUCCAGGUGUAGCGGUGAAAUGCGUAGAGAUCUGGAGGAAUACCGGUGGCGAAGGCGGCCCCCUGGACAAAGACUGACGCUCAGGUGCGAAAGCGUGGGGAGCAAACA